rnacentral:rRNA from 1 species
ACCCCCGUGAGAAUGCCCUUAAUCUUCCUUCCGGAGACCAGGAGCCGGCAUCAGGCACGACUUAUCUGCAGCCCACGACGCCUUGCUCAGCCACACCCUCAAGGGAUUUCAGCAGUGACAGACAUUAAGCAAUGAGUGAAAACUUGACUUAGUUACGGCUAAUAGGGCCGGUCAACCCCGUGCCAGCCACCGCGGUUAUACGAGAGACCCAAGUCGACAGACAUCGGCGUAAAGAGUGGUUACGGACCCAAUAACCCACUAAAGUCAAACACCUCCUAAACAGUUAUACGCAUUUCGAGGCAAGAGGCCCCACCACGAAAGUGACUUUAAAAAGACUCCCGAACCCACCACAGCUACGAAACAAACUGGGAUUAGAUACCCCACUAUGCAUAGCCAUAAACCUUGAUAGCAGUUUACACUCGCUAUCCGCCCGGGUACUACGAGCACUAGCUUAAAACCCAAAGGACUUGGCGGUGCCUCAGACCCACCUAGAGGAGCCUGUUCUAGAACCGAUACCCCCCGUUCAACCUCACCACCCCUGGCCAAUCCC